rnacentral:lncRNA from 1 species
AUGGACAACAACACAGCUAGGAGCAAUCCAGACAAUGUCAGGAGUCAUUCCACUCCUGCAAAUGAUCUUAGGCCACUGCUAGAGGAAUUGCUGAAUAAUGUUACACAUGAGCAGUGGCAACAGUUGCGGUCUGAUUACGCCGAAAAUGCCACCAUAGGAAGGCUGUGUAAUUUUGUAGAUAAUGCCAUUGCCCUAUACUCACUGUCGGCAGGUGAAGAAAUGAGGUUUUGCCAGGACACUACUGUCACUAGCACAACAACAGUGGCCUCACAGGAGACCGAGACAGCUCCUGAACUUGCACAGACCUCUAACACAGUUGACCACAACACAGAAAUGCCAGCUGAUAUUUCACAGAAAAUAACAGUCAACUUGCACAGCACAACAGAAAAUUCCCCUGGUACCAGACUUACCACUAAUAUCCAAAAUAUCAAUAAUGUCAAGGUUAUUCAAUUUAACAUCUUUAACAAGAACUUCAGUUUCAUACAAAAAAAAAGAAAAACAACUGUCAUGCCCAAUACUCCAAUAGACAAGAAAGACCGUGAUGACUCUCAGGCUGUAGACAAAGCAGGAACCUCUUUGGAAAAGGAUGUAACCCCAAAGAAAUCCUCUGCUCAACAUGAAGCCAGCACUGAUAUGUUCAACAUCACAGAAAAUAGCAGAAAAGCACUGGCCUUAAAGGACACAGAGACAGUGCCAGAACUUACACAGACCUCAGAGGAUAAUGCAUGGCUGACAGAUCUUAUUCAGGAUGUGAUUUCACAGCUUCCUGGGACAUCAACGUCCAACCCUUCUGAUUCUCUCCAAAAAUGUCUUUUGGAUUCAAUCAGGGCUGAACUCCAGGGAACAGAUUUACCCUCAGAAAUCCAGGAACAUUGCGACAGAAUCGCUAGAGCCAUUUCCACUGAUCUUUGUAAUCGAUUCAUUGUAUCUGGUGAAGAGGAUGUAAUGGCUUUAAUGAAUUUACAUGAGCCAGGGACUGACACAGUUGCCUUAGUUUUCAAAAAACACAUUUUGGCAGUGAAGAAUGAAUUGUAUCAAAACACUCAUACACUGUAA